GCGUUUUAGAAUGAUUACUGGUGGCCAGCGGAGAGGCAGAUUAUACAGCUCUACACAACUGUUGUUUUAAUCCCCCGGACGAGGAGAUUUAGCAAAGAAAAAACACUGGUUUUAAACCCAGCAGCCAUAUUGCAUGGAAAAAACGACGGGAAGACUCAUCUAUUUCAUAAAAAGUCGUUUUCUCGGACAUCUCUGUCAGGACUUUUGGGAAGUUAAUUUCUUUUUUUUUUUUUUUUUUUACUGGCUGUUUGUUUCUACCGGACAGCUAGCCUGCCAGCUGGCUGAGGAAUUCAGAGAUUGAGACUGGGUUUUUUUUUUUUGUAAAGCUAUUUUGCACAUAUAUUGUAGUGAUCUGUCUUGGUCCAAAGGUGCAAAACUAACAGUGUAAAGAUGAAGGACCGAUUGGAGCAACUUAAAGCGACGUGUGAUCAAGAUGACGACGAGGUGGAGAUCGCUGUGGACAACGCUGCCUUCAUGGACGAGUUCUUCUCUCAGAUCGAGGACAUCAGGAACAGUAUUGAUAAAAUUGACGAGAAUGUCGCUGAAGUCAAAAAGCUUUACUCCAUCAUCCUGUCUGCUCCCACAUCAGAUCAGAAAACACAGGAUGACUUGGAAGCAAUCACCAAUGACAUAAAGAAGAUGGCCAACAAUGCAAGAAACAAACUCAAGACCAUCGAGAGGAAUCUGGAGUCUGAGGAGCAGGAGAGGGUGUCUGCUGACAUGCGGAUACGUAAAUCACAGCAUGCAGUGCUGUCAAGGAAGUUUGUGGAGGUAAUGACAAAGUAUAAUGAAGCCCAGGUGGACUUCAGAGAGAGGAGUAAAGGACGUAUUCAGAGACAGCUAGAAAUCACUGGGAAAGCAACAACAGAUGAUGAACUGGAGGAGAUGUUGGAGAGUGGCAAUGCAGCAGUGUUUACUGCCGGGAUUGUCGACUCUGGCAUCUCUAAACAAGCCCUAAGUGAGAUUGAAGCCAGACACAAAGACAUUGUGCGCCUGGAGAGCAGCAUCAAGGAGCUCCAUGAUAUGUUUGUAGACAUUGCCAUGCUUGUGGAGAGCCAGGGUGGAAUGAUCGAACGGAUCGAGAGCAACAUGGACCAAUCGGUGGGCUUCGUGGAGCGUGCUGUAGCGGACACUAAAAAAGCCGCAAAGUUUCAGCAGGAGGCUCGCCGUGUGAGUGAACACAGCAGGGAAAAGAGCGGGCCUGUUUCCCAAAAGCAACAGAAAUGUCUGUAUUAUAGUUUACAGAAACAAAACCGUGAUGGCCUUGAGAUGGAUACUAUUCAAAUUUCCAUUCAGAUUGUGUUAGGUUUAAUAGGUGGUACAAAGAAGGUUCAUGCCGAGGGCAAAGACUGAGAAAGACUCAAGGUCACAAGUCUGACACAGUGGUAGAGUAUCAUAAAGUGAAACAAUCUUUAGCCACAACACAGUGUGACAUAUUAGGUAAGGCAAUGUGUCAGCUGAGCACACUUUCAAAGUUGAUCAUUUUGGAACACAGACUUCCUAUAUCUAUGUUUCCCUUUUUAACUAUGACGGGAAAAGAUCAAAUGGAGAUGGAAAUUCUGCCCCCGCUGUGAAAUAUUGUAGCAUCUACUCAGCCUUCGAACUCGUGCAUCUGCAACUCAACCUAGUCGUGCUAGAUCGCAUGUCCUAGUUUCACCAGGACUGACGACAGCACAAUGUCCACCCUUGUUUGUUAAAGGUGGAUAAAAAGGCUUUUGGGAAACUUGCCUGACAACAAGGAGACUGUUGACAUCAUCAAAACCCUGAUCAUCACCACGUGGCCCCAAAUCCCUCUUGGCUCCUCUGUUCCUGAGUGUCCUCCGCUCUGUGGCCUGUUGGACCCCCGUGCUUUUAAAAAAACCCCACUGACCUGACCAUCACCACAACCCCUCCCACCCAACUUACACUUAGACAUACACACACAACAACAGCAUACACGCACUCUUUUUCUCUCUGCCUCUUCUCUUCAGUCUUAACUUUUUUAUUUUAUUUUACAGCUAGCUCAUGACGACUGCAUAUUUCUUUUUGUUGUGUGAAUGUGUUUGACGACAUCACAGGUUAGCUCACGCCUGUUACACGCAUGUCUGUGAAAAUAACUUUUCUAUUUCCAGAUUAGCAUCGGGUCAACACUGCUAGACCAACGUUUAACUGGACUAUCCUUACUGGAUUGUUACUUCAGUGGCAUAAUGAAACACUGAGUUUGUGCAAGUUACCAAGCUACCAAACUAGUUCUUGAUAUUUGGUAUAGCCAUUGUUUUUGUAUGUUCCCUCAUACAAAACUACUAGUUACAGUAUGUGACAUGCUGUACUUGAUUUCAUAAUGAACGCAUUCAUGAAGGAUACAGUUUUGUUCAUGUUUCCCACCAACGAUGACCCUGAUGAGUCUGUGUGCACUUUGUUGUUCCCAACAGAAAACUGUGAUAAUAGUGGUGGUUGUGGUGAUCUUACUGGCCGUACUAGCUCUCAUUAUCGGGUUGUCAGUGGGAUUAAACUGAAGCUGAUGAGCUAGUUGAACAAGAGAGCUAAAGAAGAAGAUCAUUAUUGGAGAAUCCUGUGCUGUGGAUAUUCUCGUCAUCCUCAUUCUCAUCGACCUCACCCUCCAACCCACCUCAGUUAGUUCGUCCAGCACUCAAUCCUGUCAUCCAUCAGCCAGCUGACCAAAUAGCAAACCAAAUGAUUCUGAUCUCUUCCUUCUGGAGGUCUAGGGCUUCAUAUGACCUCUGCUGUAACAGAAUACUUACGAGGCCUGACUCGACUUUAAAACUUUUUGACCUUUGUCCAAUCAGAACAGUCCUUUGGGGUCUUUGAGUUUCUCUUUGACUCCCUUUUAAGUGGCUCGGACAGUUUGAGGAUGCUCUGCUGCAGAAGAGAAAACGAGAGUGAAGCUGACAUGAGGUAGAAAAAAACCUGUUGUAUCUCUGCGGAGAGGAAAAGGGAAUUGAAAAUAACUGAUUGAAUGUCUCUCCACUCUCCCUAAACAUUUCAUUGUCAAAGAACCUUCUUCUUCAUCGUCAUUUCAUGCCUUAAUGAGCCUUGAAACAUUGUGUGAUUGAAAAGCUAGCUACUGUAUGUUCACUGUAUCUGGAUUUUUGGGAAGUUCCAGCACUUUCACGUUUCAAAAUAAAUCUUACUCCUGUAAUUAUGUUUAGAUUAUGAUGUAAAUUAUAUCAGUUUUUAAACUUGAAGAAUACUGUUGUUUCUGAAGGUGUGACUACAAUGAUGGAAACAUUUCAUGAGACAGGUGGAGCUAAGAUGAGCAAAAAUCACACAAAAUCCAGGUGUGGGGGGAUGAACACGCAUGCCUUGCUUUAUGAUUUAUCUAACCACUACAUCAUCUGAGAGAAAUGCCAGAAUUUCCGUUUUUGUAGCUUUGCUCACGUCACGUCCUAAUGUCAGCCAUCUGAACUUUUUACACAUAAAAGGCGUUAGAAAGUGUUCUAAAGCCUGAUGGUGUGAAGUAACACUCAACCUUUUUCCUUCCAGUGCCAGAUUAGUCUUUGCGUUUAUUUAACUGCUAAUGACGUUUUGCAAAUAAAGGUGCACAUACAAUAAAAAGUGUAAAUGGACAUUCCAACAUACAGCAAGGCCUUCCAUUGCUCUUAAAUACUGGAGUAUUUUUCCUGCCAUAUUUCGAGUACAUACAGUCUAAGCGAACUGCCUUGCAUUAAGUCUGCAUGUUCACGAAGGUUAUAAAGUUAUUUUUUUGAGAUAUGUUGCUGUGGAGAUAUGUUGGCAACACUUCAUGGACACUUUAGAGGCAGCAGUUUGUGAUGCUUUUGAAUUGUGUUGCAUAACAACAAAGAGGUGUCAAAUAGUUUUUCACCACGUAUACUGAUAUGAACAGAACAAAGUUCCCAUAGAAAUAGAAAAAAGUAUAACCCCAUAAAAAGACCAUGAAUUUUAAACAGCACUUUUAAGUAGUAAAACCUGAACAUAAUAACCAUCUCCGAUAAAGUCAGGCAGAUUCUAUCACGUAUGGCUUUUGUUUCAGACUGCAAAUGCAAAACGGUUCCUUCUGGUUGAUCAUCUUUCACUGCCUUACAGUCCAUUAUUGUCAGUCAAGAAGGGGUUAAAUGAUUUGCACCUCCACUGAGAGAAGUCUUUGUUUCUGUCAGAUCCCAGUUUGAAUGGGGCUUUUAAUGCUGCUUGUUUGGGGAGCACUUGAAAGUGAGAGGCCUCCCUCAGCUUGCUCUUUUGACCACACAGUCUGCUCUUUUUGGCUCCUGUUCUUAACCAUUCAGUCCUAAUGUUUCUGUACACCCCCUUUUAUGUUUUCUUCACACCACUUUAGCAGUGAGCACGUGCUGCAGUAACACAAUGAGAAGCUGAGGAUGUUGUACAGUGUAAAUGUUAAAUUAAGAUGAUUUUAAAGGAAAAUAAAGAUGCUAUGUUUUUUAA